GUGCCCAGUCGUGGGGGAUAACUACUCGAAAGAGUAGCUAAUACCGCAUACGAUCUGAGGAUGAAAGCGGGGGACCUUCGGGCCUCGCGCGAUUGGAGCGGCCGAUGGCAGAUUAGGUAGUUGGUGGGAUAAAAGCUUACCAAGCCGACGAUCUGUAGCUGGUCUGAGAGGACGACCAGCCACACUGGGACUGAGACACGGCCCAGACUCCUACGGGAGGCAGCAGUGGGGAAUUUUGGACAAUGGGCGAAAGCCUGAUCCAGCAAUGCCGCGUGCAGGAUGAAGGCCUUCGGGUUGUAAACUGCUUUUGUACGGAACGAAAAAGCUCCUUCUAAUACAGGGGGCCCAUGACGGUACCGUAAGAAUAAGCACCGGCUAACUACGUGCCAGCAGCCGCGGUAAUACGUAGGGUGCGAGCGUUAAUCGGAAUUACUGGGCGUAAAGCGUGCGCAGGCGGUUAUGUAAGACAGAUGUGAAAU
rnacentral:rRNA from 1 species